CGUAAGCGAGAAGCGUACGCUGGCAGAGCUGUGAACGUACGCAAUCUUCUUUCUCGAAACGCACCACGCUGACCAUGUCGUCGUCCUCAAAGCGAGAUAGCGCAUCGCUGAGACCCGACUUCACAUGGGACGGCAAAUCACACUGUGUGAUAUCGCCGUUCACAAUCACGGUGACGUUUUCCCCAAGGCGUGUC
rnacentral:antisense_RNA from 1 species